UUGUGAAAAAUGGACUAAAAUCACUUUGACUAGGAUCGGUCAAUACUGUGGCCCUGCUGAUAACUGCAGCACCAACUCGAGAACACCCGAAGUUUCAAUUGAGACUGGCCGUCUAAUUGUACAUAAUGUCACCUAUAACAGAUGCUACAGUUCAAAAACCAUACGAGGACACAAAGAGAUAUUUUAUAAUGUUACUGUCAAAAAAUUACACUAUACCAUCAUAUCAGAAACGUCCAUCUCAAAAUUCACUACUAAAACACCCAACUAUACUUCAACCUCAGACAAUUCCUACAACACUACAUCAUCAAUUAUUGCUAUUGUUGUUGCUGCUGCUGCGAUCUUGGUGGCCAUUGGUUUGUUCGGUGUCUGGUACAUACGCAAACGGAGGUACGUACCAGUGA
rnacentral:lncRNA from 1 species